rnacentral:rRNA from 1 species
GACGAACGCUGGCGGCGUGCUUAACACAUGCAAGUCGAACGGAAAGGCCCUGCUUUUGUGGGGUGCUCGAGUGGCGAACGGGUGAGUAACACGUGAGUAACCUGCCCUUGACUUUGGGAUAACUUCAGGAAACUGGGGCUAAUACCGGAUAGGAGCUCCUGCUGCAUGGUGGGGGUUGGAAAGUUUCGGCGGUUUGGGAUGGACUCGCGGCUUAUCAGCUUGUUGGUGGGGUAGUGGCUUACCAAGGCUUUGACGGGUAGCCGGCCUGAGAGGGUGACCGGGCACAUGGGGACUGAGAGACGGCGCAGACGCCUAUGGGAGGCAGCAGGGGGGAAUAUGGCAGAAUGGGGGGAAGCCUGAUGCAGCAACGUCGCGUGCGGGAUGACGGGUUUCGGGUGGUAAACCGCUUUCGCCGGUGACGAAGCGGGAGUGACGGUAAUGGGUAAAGAAGCACCGGCUAACUACGUG